UACGGAGGGAGCUAGCGUUGUUCGGAAUUACUGGGCGUAAAGCGCACGUAGGCGGCUAUUCAAGUCGGGGGUGAAAGCCCGGGGCUCAACCCCGGAACUGCCCUCGAAACUAGAUAGCUAGAAUCUUGGAGAGGCGAGUGGAAUUCCGAGUGUAGAGGUGAAAUUCGUAGAUAUUCGGAAGAACACCAGUGGCGAAGGCGACUCGCUGGACAAGUAUUGACGCUGAGGUGCGAAAAGCGUGGGGAGCAAACAGG
rnacentral:rRNA from 1 species